CGCCUGUUUAACAAAAACAUGUCUUUUUGGUUUUAUUUAAAGUCUGGCCUGCCCAAUGAUUUUUUAAUGGCCGCGGUAUUAUGACCGUGCAAAGGUAGCAUAAUCAUUAGUUUUUUUAUUGGAAACUUGUAUGAAUGGUUAGACGAGAAAAAUACUGUCUUUUUUUAAUUUAUAAUGAAUUUUAUUUUUUGGUUAAAAAGCUAAGAUUUUAUUAAAAGACGAGAAGACCCUAUAGAGUUUAAUAAUUAAUUAUUUAUUAGUUAUUUGGUUUUAUUUUAUAUUAUUUGUUUAAUUAUUUUGUUGGGGUGAUGAUUAAAUUUAUUUAACUUUUUUUUUAUUUUUACACUAUUGAGUGAUUUUUUGAUCCAUUGGUUUGAUUAAAAGUUUAAAUUACCUUAGGGAUAACAGCGUUAUAUUUCUUGAGAGUUCUAAUCGAAAGAAUUGUUUGCGACCUCGAUGUUGGAUUAA
rnacentral:rRNA from 1 species